GGGUCUGAACUUCGGAAGCCAAUCCUGCAAGCAACUUUCAGUCUGUGAACACAAUGAAGAGGAAGCCUUUGCUUUUCACUGGGAGAAUCAGUGAUGUGGAGAAAUCUGGCGGCUCUACAGAGCACAGCCCGGUGGCCGCAGCCUAAACACACAAGGCUGUUUACUUUUAGUUCUGGAACUGUCGAGUACAGAGGUAAACUGCUUAACUGUGUUUGCCUGCUUAGCAUGCCCAUGGGAAGAAGAACCUGAUUAAGAGGCAAAGAGACAAGCAUCUGAUAAACAUGUUUUGCCCACAAAUCACA
rnacentral:lncRNA from 1 species